rnacentral:sRNA from 1 species
UUUUUUGUAUUUUUUU